AGCGAACGCUGGCGGCAGGCCUAACACAUGCAAGUCGAACGAACCUUUCGGGGUUAGUGGCGGACGGGUGAGUAACACGUGGGAACGUGCCUUUAGGUUCGGAAUAACUCAGGGAAACUUGUGCUAAUACCGAAUGUGCCCUUCGGGGGAAAGAUUUAUCGCCUUUAGAGCGGCCCGCGUCUGAUUAGCUAGUUGGUUGAGGUAAUGGCUCACCAAGGCGACGAUCAGUAGCUGGUCUGAGAGGAUGAUCAGCCACAUUGGGACUGAGACACGGCCCAAACUCCUACGGGAGGCAGCAGUGGGGAAUCUUGCGCAAUGGGCGAAAGACUGACGCAGCCAUGCCGCGUGAAUGAUGAAGGUCUUAGGAUUGUAAAAUUCUUUCACCGGGGACGAUAAUGACGGUACCCGGAGAAGAAGCCCCGGCUAACUUCGUGC
rnacentral:rRNA from 1 species